UACGUAGGGGGCGAGCGUUGUCCGGAUUUAUUGGGCGUAAAGAGCUCGUAGGCGGUUCGAUAAGUCGGACGUGAAAUCUCCACGCUCAACGUGGAGGGGCCGUUCGAUACUGUCGUGACUCGAGUCCGGUAGGGGAGUGUGGAAUUCCCGGUGUAGCGGUGAAAUGCGCAGAGAUCGGGAGGAACACCCGUAGCGAAGGCGGCACUCUGGGCCGGUACUGACGCUGAGGAGCGAAAGUGUGGGGAGCGAACAGG
rnacentral:rRNA from 1 species